rnacentral:tRNA from 1 species
CCCUGGGUGGCUCAGUCGGUUGAGCAUCUGACUUUGGCUCAGGUCAUGAUCUCAUGGUUUGUGAGUUCAAGCCCCACUUUGGGCU